ACCCGCGGCAGCGAAUUGCGCUUUUUCUGUUCCGUUUCUCCUCAAAAUGGAAGGCCUACCGCAGGCCCUCUGGCUCCAAGGUCUCGCCACGUUAACUCAAAAGAGGAAUCCGGUGACAAACCUAAGCGUCGUACCCUGAACGGGUUGUCUGGUCCCUCUUGUGGGUAAGGCUUCCUCUUUCUCGUAAAGGUUGAGGGCAAAUCAUUUUCUGUGAUCAGCCUCAGUCAGCAACGACCCUCGCCUCUAAACGGGGGCUGCGGAAAGACCAAGCAGCCCCUUUCAGCGCCCGCCGAAGCCAGCCCGUGCCCCUGAGGGCGACUCAGUCUCGCCGGGAGGGGCCUCGAGCGUGGCGCUCCGCAGGGCGAGGGCGGCGUGCGGCGUGCCGUGCCGGGACGGGACGGCGGCGGUGCUGCCUUCGGACUGGCAGCAACAGUGGUCUUCUAAACAUACAAAGCCGGAAUUCCUGUUGAGGAAACAAGUUUGCAUCUUGGCAAGAGAAAAUGAUUUGGCCUACUGCGGAAGCUGGAUUGAAUUCAGCUGAAGAAAAUAAAGAGUGCAGAGACACAGCUGGUGUUUUGAGGACUGAGAGCAAGUAGAGGAACGAAGAUGUGUUAUCAGGCUAAACAUAAAAACCACACCAGGUGAGAGAGUCUCAGACAAGAAGGCAGAGGAUGAAGAGAGAAGUCAGAGAGUUUAAGAUGAGUUCCUGAAGUAUAAACCACAACUUACUGGUGCUGAUAGAUCUAUAACUGUUUUAGUUUGCUAUAGUUCAGUGAAAGUCCAGGCUGUUUCAUCUGUUUACACUAGAAGAGCAUCUGGUCUGCAGUUACUAACCUAGGAGAAGUAUUCUGGGCGAAAAAGUAUUACCUUGUGUAAGCUACAGUUGCUAUGCUCAGCAUGUCAGCUGGUCCUAAAUUACUAAACCCUUAUUCAGCUUUGUCUUUGUGCAUGUAGAAUUGCUUUUUCAAGAAAUGAAGCCGGAAAUUGCUUAUUCGAUACUGUAAUUAAUUCAUGUGAUUCUGCAAGAACAUCUCUGUCGCGUGGUUGGUAAAAUUAUUAUGCGUUCUCGUUUUCUUUUUCAUAAUUUUAGAAAAGUGUGUUUUCUCCUUGUUGGGCUAAAGCACAACUAUAAGCUUUCCCUUUCCCUCACUACAUCUCCCAUCAUUGACUAAGGGCAUUGCCAUUAUCCUGGAAACAGGAGGAGUCUUGGAUUGGAUCAGCCAUUUCACUGCCUGCGUGUGUCUGUGAGAUAAGGACACAGUAUUCAGUCUUUGAAAAUAUGUUCUUCUGAGUAGCUUCUGUAUGUUUCUCUGUGCCUUUCAUUUAUUAACUUUCGCAUGUGACACAUAUGUCUAAAAGCCAAUAUGCUGUAUUAGGGCUCAAUCCCACACUACUGACGUCAGUGAGAGUUUUAUCAAUUACGCUAAUGAGCACAGGAUUAGGCCUUUGUGAUUAUAUGAAGAACCAAUUAUUGGAUUUUACAUGAACCUACAUUAACAACUCCUUGUAAAUGUAACUUGCAAGGUGAGAAUCAGAGAAAACAUUGCUUUUCUGUUCCAGUUUAAAUUUGACUUUGGUAUUAAGCCUUUUGUAUUUAGGUUUUGAAAUGCAGUGCAUUGGCAGAAACAGACACAUUGUGCCCUCUACUCCCGCUCCCAGUAAUAAGGCAUUGCAUAGUUUAAUCUCUUCCUAGGCGUUUCUUGCUUAAGGACCCAGUACUUUCACAGCCUCUGUAUUAAAAAAGACUUUUAGCAUCUUGCAGGGUGAGACCCCCCAAUAUAUUCUGUUUGACAGAUGGUCUUUAUGUAUUGCAUUGUCAAACAAGAACAAACAAACAAACAAACAAACAAAUUUUAAAAGGAACAAACCUAAGCUAGAAAGAAGCCCGAGCCUGUGAUUUACUGUGAUUUAUUCUUCUUGUUUUUAUUCACAGUCUUGCAAGUAUGACAGCUGUGAUGUAAUGACCUGGCCAACAUAUUGCACAGCACAAUGCUACAGAUCUUUUUAUUUUCCUGUUGUUCCUAAUCAUUAUUUAUUAUCUGAGAUAUUAUCAAUCAUUUCUUGUACAACUCCAAAGAGAGCAAGAACAUCUUCCAAGCAACAUGAUUUUUUUAUAUUUGAAGCUCAAAGAGUGUCUGACUUCAGUUUAGCUUUCUGAAAGUCAUUAGUCCACAGUGCAGGUGAAUGUAAUUUCCAUGUAAAUAUAGUCUCUGCAUCAGUAAUUUAUGCUUAAAAUUUAGAAACACUAAAAGUGAACAGCUGCCUUUCAGGCACAACCUGUGAUGGGGUUGAUGCAGAGAUAAUGUUUUAUCCUUUAAUCCACUGCAAAUUCACCCUGAUAUUUCACUAUGUUCCUGCACAUCCAAAUAAAAAGAUGGUUUUUGUAA